UAGGGAAUCUUCCACAAUGGACGCAAGUCUGAUGGAGCAACGCCGCGUGAGUGAAGAAGGCUUUCGGGUCGUAAAACUCUGUUGUUGGAGAAGAAUGGUCGGCAGAGUAACUGUUGUCGGCGUGACGGUAUCCAACCAGAAAGCCACGGCUAACUACGUGCCAGCAGCCGCGGUAAUACGUAGGUGGCAAGCGUUAUCCGGAUUUAUUGGGCGUAAAGCGAGCGCAGGCGGUUUUUUAAGUCUGAUGUGAAAGCCCUCGGCUUAACCGAGGAAGCGCAUCGGAAACUGGGAAACUUGAGUGCAGAAGAGGACAGUGGAACUCCAUGUGUAGCGGUGAAAUGCGUAGAUAUAUGGAAGAACACCAGUGGCGAAGGCGGCUGUCUGGUCUGUAACUGACGCUGAGGCUCGAAAGCAUGGGUAGCGAACAGAAUUAGAUACCCUGGUAGUCCAUGCCGUAAACGAUGAAUGCUAGGUGUUGGAGGGUUUCCGCCCCUUCAGUGCCGCAGCUAACGCAUUAAGCAUUCCGCCUGGGGAGUACGACCGCAAGGUUGA
rnacentral:rRNA from 1 species